CCACCCCGGGAAGUCAGCUUACUUUAAAGCCGAGGCCAGACGGGCAGCAGCGUACCAAGUCCAAUCAGCCCCCCCCCCCGCUAGAAGCGCAGCCAUCUCUCUUUGUUGGACGUGGGCCACACGCGGCACUAAAUAGGCUUGACGGGACAAAAUAUUCAAAUUAAUUUGGGACUGAGCGGUGGCCUCCCGAGCUGCUUCCCCUCCGCUGGCGCUCCCGCUCUGUGCACCGUUCACCGCCUGUAGCGGCUGCGGCCCCAAUCUAAGCCUGUUGGAGAAGGAAUAAAUCAUCCGCCGCCUCCGUUUAAGCAGGGCACUGAUUGCCGGUGUUCGCUCACCGGGGAAAUCAGGUUGUUCAAAAGCAUUCCCGUGUUCCAAGUGCCAAUGGUGCAUCUGUACAUAUGCAUAUCUGAAUGUACCUCACAAAGACGGGAAAAACUUCAGAGAGAAAACUAGGCUGAAUCUUUUUCUGUCUUGAACUAACUUUCUAUAUGCGGUGAUGUUUAUGUUUUUUUUAUAUAGAAUGCAUCCAGCUUAUAAAGGGAUGGACUAAAGAAAGCUUUUUACUACUUGAAACUGCAAAAAAUAUAAAUGAAAACAAAUUGUUAUGCAGCAGUUGGUAUCACAUCCUCAAAAGUACAGAAAUGUUGUAAAUAAAGUAAAAAAUGUUAUGUGGGCAGUUCACAAAUAAAAAAUGAAAUAUAAAAAUAAUAAAUAUAGCACAUCAAUAUAUAAUCUAAAUCAGAUAAAAGCACUAGAAUAAAAACAGAAUGAAACAGCAUCAGCAUACAAUAGCACAAGGAAUGUAAAAGCAGUACAGCUAAGAUGUAAGAAAGCUUAGGAGGGUAUUAAUCUGGCCCUGAAAACAAGGAUAUCUGGGAAGCUGCUGAGAAGAGGGUAUUCCACCCAAAAAGCAUCUUAGAAAUCAAGUCUUGGAGCCAUUAAAAGAAAAGUUGACUAAAAAAAAUGUUUGAAUAUUCCUCAGCUCAAGUGAUUUAGGAAGUCCAGUUUACAAAUUCUUCAAAUGAGGGAGAGAAAAGAGAGAAAUGCCUGUUGGUGGAAAGUAGAGUUUGAAUUGCAAAGGAUUAAGAAAUGUGAAGACCUUUUUAAUCCCUCAAAUAAUGACGGGCCUUCCACCCCCCACCUUCCUAUCAGCUGGUACUACUGCAUCUUACAGGAUACUGUUCCAGAAAAAUGUAAUUCUCAUAGGAAGUGUAAGAACGUCCUUGUGGUGAUCAUGCU